AAAAGAGAGGAGAUUGAACUAGAAUUCCCAUGGACAUAUGGCCAAAAUAACUAUCUAAAUAACUAAGGAUGAGCAGAAAAGGAGAAGACCAAGAGCACAGGAAAAAGAGCCAACAGACAUGUCAAAAAGAACCGAAGUCUGCCUCUUCUACUUCUCUUUUAAAGUUGCUUUGGUUUCCUUUUGUCCUCUUUCCAAGCCUGUUCAAGUCUGAGAUAGAUGAAAAGAGCAGCCAAAGAAACAGAUCUGCUGAAGCAUCAAUUGGAAAGGAUGGGAGGGUUGGAGGAGGAGCACAGCUGGAUGACUACAUUAGAUUGUGGCAUAUUAGGUCACUUUAUCUGUUGAAGCAUCAAUAGGAAAGGAUGAAAGGGAGGGAGGCAGGAAGAGGAAAACACAGAACAGCAGAUGAGGAGCACUCUAUGUUCUGCUUCCAUGUGGAUUGACAGCAUUGCUUUCAUGAGCUGCUGGAGGACACCAUGGAGGAAGAGGGAGAGGGUUUAUGAUAGGCAGUUUGCCAUGGCCCUAAAUGGGCUUUUGGAUGUUCAUUCUUCCUGCUUUAUAUCAUACAACUUUACAAUAAAAAUGAAUUGCAAGCAUCAGCCUUUCUGUUUGAUUGUGAUCAGUGCAGUAGUAAUAAGAUUGGUGUAAACCCAAGGAAUAUUCUGGCAGUAGUGUUCAGUUGGUAUAAAAUAGUGUGAUAAGAAAUGAUCAACAUCUUAUGAAAACAAUAUGGAAAUAGAAAUAUCAAAA